rnacentral:rRNA from 1 species
GACGAUACUGGCUCCCGAUGGCGCGCGAUGCCCCGGUGGUACCCUCGCGGUGCCACAGCGAGCGGCACACCGCCAUCGGCGAACGUUCCGGUGAUGUAGUCGUGCACUUCUCCCCUAGUAGAACGUCGCGACCCGUUGCGCGUCGGUCUACGGCCCGAGUGGGCGCCUGUGGCGUCGCAAUUUUGCGCACGCGGCAGACCCUCGGUCGCCCGGCCGGCUGCGCGACGGUACUCGUACGGUAUCGGGCCGCAACCAAUCCAUUUUCGAAUGUAUGUGCGUCUAGCCCGCCGCAAGCUCGGUCAGACUACCCGGUGGUACGGACUUUGCGCCGGCGCCGGGCCUGGCCAGCUGUUAGCAGGCGGUGUCCUCGGACUGGCCAAGCUUCGAAUUACCGGUCGGCGACGCUACUGCUUUGGGUACUCUCAGGACCCGUCUUGAAACACGGACCAAGGAGUCUAACAUGUGCGCGAGUCAUUGGGAUUUAUCAUAACCUAAAGGCGAAAUGAAAGUGAAAGUCU